rfam:Myotis davidii contig73579, whole genome shotgun sequence.
GGCAAUUCUCGGCUGACACACCUUGGAAUUGGGCUCCCUCCUCUCUGGUUCCAGGUGCAUCACCAGAGAACCGCA